rnacentral:misc_RNA from 1 species
GUUGAGAACAAACAAAUAAAAGUGGUAACUAGUUUAUCAAGAAUCCAUCCUGCAUUUCUGAAAACUGAUAUGCAAUUUAUUUCUUCAAAAGCAAUUUGGCCAAAUAUAUCAUCACACACUUGAACUAUUUGAGUUUUGUCUAUUAGACACCUGAACUAAUUUCGUGACCUAUUGAACACUUAAAAAUAUCAUUAUAAUUAAAUACAAAAUUGCCAUAUCAGCAGUAAUCUGUCAAAAUUAGAAAAAAAAUGGGUCCACUUUUUGCUGAUUGUUCUUUAAUUCUCCCAUAAAAUGACUAAAUUAUCCCUCUUCUUCCACACCUCUCCCAUAAAAUAAUGAGAGGAGGGCUUGUCUCAAAAAUCAAAGAGAAAAAAAAAUUGAAUGAAGAGAUAAAGGAAGUGUGGAAUGCGAAAAUGGGAGAGAAGACAUUCAAUGGGCAUAUCAGUUUCACAUUUAGUCAUCAUCCGUCCAAAAGAUGCUUGAAUCUCGCCAUUAACUUUCUCAAAAUCCCCGAUCUUGUGGAACUUAUAUUUUGGCAAUCAAAGAAUCUCUUCCUUUGUUGCUCCAUCCUGUUUUUCGGUACUUGAUUUGAGUUUGCAUUAGGAAAUUGUAGGUUUGGUUAUGGAGUUUUUAAUGCAUAUGUGUGGAGAGAGGAGAGGAUGAUGAGAUUGAAGAACAGGGAUAAUUUAAUCCUUUUUUAGGAGAAUCAAAGCAUAGCCAGCAAAAAGUGGGUCAUUGUUCUUUUACUUCUUAUGGAGUUAUAUGAAUUUACUUUUUUAUAAAAUGAAAUGAUUAUGACUAUCUUUUGUGGUUCGUAGAGAAAACUGGUACUGCCUUGAUAUGUUUUCAAAAUUUGUUCUCUUAUGUCCACAUUAUACUAUGUAUGCAUGCAUGCACAAAUAUUCAUGCUUGAAUGGGAGAAUUACUUUUGGGAUUUGCUUGGAGCAAAUAUGCUACAUUGAUGAAAGUUUGUUAUCAUAUAUAGAGUUUGCUUUUAGAAAAUCUGCUUAUUGAUUUGAGCCUGCUUUUUUUUUUUUUUUUUUUU